GGUAGGAAGAAGAUCAAGAAAACAAGUUAAACUCUUGAAAAGUAAACAAGUAUACAGGAACUUGACAUUCAUCGGGCCCUCCUCAGCUUUUUCUUGAGUCUUGCAAACCAGACUCUUGAUAUCAUAUCGAGCCAACUUGUCGUGUCCGUCAAGAAUUUGAAGUAGGCAUUCCUCCAAGAACUAUUGACAAUUAAACAGCCCAAAAUUCCCCAAAAUGCAACAAAAAAGCUUAGCACCAUUGAUAUAUAAAACUCCAGAGAUGGAAACUCCUCCUCCUCAUCAUGUUCUUGUGGAUUGUUGUUGCUGCCAUGAUCAAUAAGGGGGCUAGGAGGAGCAUAUCCAGGACACUCCUGAAGAGGAGGCCCACAGAGUUGAGCAUUAUCACUGUAGGAUGAUCUAUCAAAACUUUGCAGUUGAGUGCUUGAUGGAAUUCUCCCUGAUAACUGGUUGUUCGACAAGUCCAACACACUAAGAAAAGUCAAAUUAGCAAGAUCUUGCGGUAUCACACCAGAAAGCUGGUUUCUUGACAUGUCAAG
rnacentral:misc_RNA from 1 species